rnacentral:tmRNA from 1 species
GGGGUCGAUCUGGUUUCGACGUGGAUUGCAAAGCUAUUGGAGCGUGUCGAGGAUCAGUUACCUCGUAAAUCCAUCUGAAAAACUUUAAACGCAAACGACGAACGUUUCGCUCUAGCAGCUUAAUUGCCGCUAGGUCCUACAACAGCUUGCCGAUGGGCUGGGCGGGGUCAAACCUGCUGUGGGAUAAUCGCACAUUGGACCGCUUACCGGAUUGUCGCUGGCUGGUAGGUUAAAUAAAGUGACUCGCGGUGCGUGCAGGGUGUCCCUUCCCGGCAAACAUUGCUAAAACCAAAUAAGAAGACUACACACGUAGAACUGGUAGUGGAGGAUUUGCGGACGCGGGUUCAAUUCCCGCCGGCUCCACCA